UGGGGGCAUAGCACCAUGGCCUGGGCUCUGCUCCUCCUCACCCUCCUCACUCAGGACACAGGGUCCUGGGCCCAGCCUGCCCUCACUCAGCCGUCCUCGGUGUCUGGGGCUCUGGGCGGCUCAGUCACCAUCACCUGUGCUGGAAGCAACAGUGACAUUGGGUACAACAGCCUCAUCUCCUGGUACCAACAGCUCCCAGGUUCAGUCCCCAAACUCCUGAUGUUUAGAGUUGAUAGGCUUGCCUCAGGGAUCCCUGAGCGCUUCUCUGGCUCCAAGUCUGGCACUACGGCCUCCCUGACCAUCUCAGGGCUGCAGCCUGAGGACAAGGCUGACUAUUACUGUGUCUCUUAUACAAGCAGUCGCACUGUUGUGUUCGGCGGAGGGACCCAGCUGACCGUCACAGGUCAGCCCGCGGUGACCCCCUCGGUCAUUUUGUUCCCGCCCUCCUCUGAGGAACUCAAGGACAACAAGGCCACCUUGGUGUGUCUGAUCAAUGACUUCUACCCGGGCACCGUGAAGGUGAACUGGAAGGCCGAUGGUACUCCCGUCACCCAGGGCGUGGACACCACCCAGCCCUCCAAACAGAGCAACAGCAAGUAUGCGGCCAGCAGCUUCCUCAGCCUGUCAGCCAAUCAAUGGAAAUCCUACCAGAGUGUCACCUGCCAGGUCACGCAUGAGGGCCACACGGUGGAGAAGAGCCUGGCCCCUGCAGAAUGCUCCUAGGGCCCCACCCUCACCCACCCCCAGGGGCCAGGAGCUGCAGACCCCAGAAGACCCCAAGGGUCUCACCUUGUCCCCCACCCAUUCAUCAUCCCACCCUUCCCUUGUACCCAAUAAACUCUCAAUAAAUAUCCUCACUUUUUCAAUCAGAAA